rnacentral:lncRNA from 1 species
AUGCUCCUGUGGCUUGGAGCUGGGGGUGCACCCCAGGGAGGAUGCCCGGAACCCUGCGGUUGUGACUGCACACUGUGCCCCUGCCCAGAGGCAGCCUGGAGGCAAUGCAUGCUCUCAGCAAAAGGAACAAAGGACCACCACCUGCAGAGCACCUGGUCCUGGAGAGCACCUUUCCUGCAGAAGGCCUGGAGAUGUCAGGAAUGUCACUGGCAUGGAACAGGUGGAAAAAAGUGCUGCAGGUUGCCAGUGUCCUGCUGCCAAGGCUGGGGUGCACCUGGACACCGCCAGCAUUGCCCACGUGGAAGCGACAUCCAUGCCAAGAGCGAUGGCCAGCACCCAGGCUCACUGACCGCGGAGGUACACUGGUGCUGA